UUAUUUAUAAGACAUAGAAAUCACAGAGCAUAAAAAAAGUACACUGCGAAAAAGGAAAAGUAAAAGAAACAGGGUACACUGCAAAAAUAACUAAAAAUAAGGCUGUUAUUGCAUAGUUCCGAAACGAUGCUUCCUUCCUCUCAUGAAGGGAUGGGUCCUACCUCCUCUGCCAGUGAGACGAAGUAUAGUCCGGAACUAUACAAUAACUUUUCCUGAAAACACUAGUAUAUUACAACACGACCCAUCCUCUAUGCACCUUUCUCUUCUUGAUCCAUGGGCACGUUGGUGUGGUGGGUGUGGCUAUUUGGCCUUAUUGUUGGACUCUGGUGGUGGUCCAGUCGUGGGUACUACAGAUUUCAAUAUCUGUGCCAACACUGACUUUCUCUUUGCGGGAAAAACACUUCCAUUUGUCUGUGUGCUGGAGCUGACCGGUUCUUCACUUGGGCUCGUUGGCUCUACUUUGGUGUAGCCACAGCAGCCCACCUUUCCAUCUGGGUUCAGCUUUCUCACCAUCUUUGCAUCUUCCUUUUUGUUCAUUUCCAUCUCUCUUUUCUCUCUAAAUUUGCUUCAAAUUUUUCUACUCCAAAUUGUGAAGGUUUUUGAAGAGAUUAAUAGUGUGAAGUAGAAAGACAUUCUUGGACGCCAAGAGUAGCAAACAGUGGCAUUCUUGGGCACUAAGGCUGUGCUGGAAAUUAAAAUUACUACUUUUAAUCUUCUUUUAUUUGAAGGGUGAUUGGCUUAAGUGAUAGCCGUGGAGCAACUGAGCAAGUAAUUAGAUUAUGAUGGCAAUUGACAAAAUUGUCAGUGAUAACUAUUAGCUCAGCCAAAUUGAUCGUGGCACGUGUCUUUCACAGCGCGGCCAAAUCCAAUAAUAUGUUUCUUCAAAUAAAUAAAGUGGUUGGAGUUUAUUUCACUUUUUGUGUGGAAAAAAAAAAAUAUCUUGUGCUCUUUGAAGUCCCACACUUAAUCUUAUAGCCAAAAGAAAGUAAAGGUUGUUUUGAAAAGAAUAUUGUUUGUCAAAGAUUCAACCUUUUUUCCCACAGGUCAGUGUUCAGUGUUUGUGUAAUGUUGAUUUAGCAAUGCAAGUUGAUUUCAGUGUGUGUUUGCUCUGAGUUUGCAGCAUGCUAAGUGUUUGAUAAAAUGUCCAUGUGGACCUGCAUUUUAUUGCUUCCCCAAAUGUGAGGCUUUGGAGGUUCAAUUUGUAAAUUUUGGUGAAUUAUUUGAUUGGUUGCAAACGAUGUUAUUCAAGCUCUCUUUACUAUUUGUAGAUAGGCUUUUGUGGUUGUAAAAUUCUUCUAUUUUAUAGAUGCUUAUUUGCCUAUGUGGAUUUUAACAGGAGGGUGACAUUGACAAUCUGCUAUUUGCUAAUUGAGGAGUUAUGGCCAGGAUCCUAUUUGAUAAGCUUUGAGUGUGCAAAGACAUUUUCUAUUUAUGGAUUGUUAUUUGCUAACUGAAGACUUCAAUCCUCGGUUGCUCUAUCUGAGAAGUGUUGUGUUUGCAAAAUUCAUCUAUUCAUGGAUGCUUGUUUGCCUAUGUGGAUUUUAAGAGGAGGGUAGCAUCGACGAGCUACUAUUUGCUAAUUGAGGAAUUAUGGCCAGGAUCCUAUCAGGUUCAAAGUCUUUGGACCCUCUAUUGCUGAGUGCUAUGUUGUGACCAGUAAUCAGUAAUCAAAACAAAAACUCAAGCGAUAAGCUUUAACCAUUGAAGAUGGAGCACUAUAUAUAAAACCUGAGUAGACUUCAUUUUUUUUUUUUUUUUUAUUGCUGUUUUUGAAGUGUUGGUUAUGUAGUAUUCAUUAGAUUGUUAUUAGUCAAUUUCUAAUUCUUUUCUUUGAGUGAUAAUUUACAUUUAGAAAAACAAUUUUGGGGUUCAAUAUUAGAUUGUUUCUGUAAGAUCUUAUGCUCAGUUGAGUUUUCAAGGAAACUGUGAAGGAAACAACUGCUUUUUCUAAUUUCAUUUUAUAUACCUUAAUCUGUAUUCUUGAGUGUGUCGGAGCCUACAGUAUCAAAUUUAGCUUUAAAUUUGUAUGCAAUAUUGAAUCAGAGCACCAUUGGUCUAGAAGCUGGGGAGAGAAGGUUCUAUUGGCUGUUUUAGACUUAUUACUAGAUUAAUAAAGUUAGGUAUGCCAAUCUCCGAGACCAAGGUCAAGCCAAUAAAAAUUCUCAAAAAAUAUAUACUGUAAUAUGGAUGUUAGUGCCAAUAUUUUAAGUUUGACUGGGAUGUCCCUUUCAUGUCUUCAUCAUUUGAAGCCCCUUGUUAUAUCAAUAUUAAGUUUUGAGUCUUUUGACCAACCACUAGUACCACAAUUAUAAGUUCAUAUGAAUAUAAAUUGUAUAGCUAUUUGCUCUAGCUUCUAUGGGAAAGGCACUUCUUAUGUUUCCUGGAGGUUUCUUAGGUCACUCACUACAACAUUCAUAACUAAGAUAAUGCAAAAUUGAGAUUGAUAAGCUACGUGAGUAACUUUUGUCAAUGUUACAUUGCUCACUUUUAUUGCAAAAUUUCAUCAUGACAUUACAUUGUUUCUUUCUUUA